AUAUUUUUAUUGCAGAUAAAGAGGAAUCCAGAGAUAAAAAGGAUUGGAAACUAGAGUAUGGACUCAUGAACAUCUCAGAAAAGAUGGAAAAUUGAUAAAUGAAGCAAUUGCCGAAACUAUAGUAUGUAUAUUACGUCAAUGUUCGACAUAUGAUAGUUUGAUUUUGUAUACGUACCACUUAUUAAUAUAAAAUUUGGGUUCCAUGAGUAUAGAAAAUGAUCGAAGAGUGUGUCCAAUCAAUUUCUGAUACACCAGCGAAGACUCUAUCCGCGAGGAUGCUGUUGCUCGAGUCUAGGUCCUGAACGUAAUGGGAGAGUUAGAGGACUUUGAUUUGGAGUUGCACCGUCGAAAGUGAGUGGACAAAUUGAAAGUAACGUGAGAGUUAAAGAACUUGAAAGUGAAUUACAAACUCAGUCAUAAAGGGUGGGAGCGUUAGAAGAAAAAUGUUGAAGCACUUCUGAAGCUAUCUCAACAGGUUAUAAUAUUUUACCAUUACAUAUUUGUGGAUGGUAAUAGUGCUUACUAUGGUCAAUUACACAUAGAUUUACUUUUAUAAUUUUUGUAUCAUUUUACAGAAUAUGGAGGAUAGGAGUUCACAUGUUUUCACUCCUCAGGUUUUUGUCUCCUACAUUAGUAAAUGUUUAUUCAAUAUAAAUUCAGAUUAUAGCAUACCAAUUUGAUACAUGUUCACUUUUUUACUUUGCAUUUCUAGUCACACCAAGGAAGUGGUGUCUAAGGAAGUAUUGCAUCUAAGGAAAAUGUAAGGUGUCAACUAUUGCAGUGGUAUAUGUUUGAAGAGGAAGAAAUUGUAGUGGAAGGGAAGAUUGCAACAACAGACCCUAGUGCAAAGGUGCAUCACUUGCCACUUGGACGAGACUGUUGGAAGUUUUGGGUUGAGGGAGUGUGUAUGAGUAGUUUGACCUUAUACAGACCUACACUUGAACUUUGAACUCUUGGUGAAGCCAUGGGAAGUACUGUUAUUUGGCUGAAGAGCAGUAUUAUACUUAUUUGAUGAAGGUAUAUUUUCUGGACUAAUUACAUAUAUGUAUG
rnacentral:lncRNA from 1 species